GAUGAAGAACGUAGCGAAAUGCGAUAAGUAAUGUGAAUUGCAGAAUUCAGUGAAUCAUCGAAUCUUUGAACGCACAUUGCGCCCGCCAGUAUUCUGGCGGGCAUGCCUGUUCGAGCGUCAUUUCAACCCUCAAGCCCAGCUUGGUGUUGGGGAUCGGCACAGGCGCCCUCGGGCGCCCGCCGUCCCCUAAAUCUAGUGGCGGUCCCGCUGCAGCCUCCUCUGCGUAGUAGUUUUCUCCUCGCAAGGGCAGCUCGGUGGCGACCUCGCCGUAAAACCCCCAACUUCUGAAAGGUUGACCUCGAAUCAGGUAGGAAUACCCGCUGAACUUAGGCAUAUCAAUAAGCGGAGGA
rnacentral:misc_RNA from 1 species